rnacentral:rRNA from 1 species
AGCUCCAAUAGCGUAUAUUAAAGUUGUUGCGGUUAAAAAGCUCGUAGUUGGAUUUCUGCGGGGAACGGCCGGUCCGCACUUUGUGCGUGUAUCUGGUUCGGUCUCUGCAUCCUCCAGGGGAACAGUGCUGCGCUUAAUUGCGUGGUCUGGUAUUCUGGACUUUUACUUUGAGGAAAUUAGAGUGUUUACGGCAGGCAAUCGCCUUGAAUACAUUAGCAUGGAAUAAUAAUAUAGGACCUUGGUUCUAUUUUGUUGGUUUCUAGAACUAAGGUAAUGAUUAAUAGGGAUAAUUGGGGGCAUUUGUAUUAACACGUCAGAGGUGAAAUUCUUGGAUUGU